CCUACGGGAGGCAGCAGUGGGGAAUAUUGCACAAUGGGGGAAACCCUGAUGCAGCGACGCCGCGUGAGUGAAGAAGUAUUUCGGUAUGUAAAGCUCUAUCAGCAGGGAAGAAAUAGCGACAUUUGGGUCGCCAGACGGUACCUGAUUAAGAAGCCCCGGCUAACUACGUGCCAGCAGCCGCGGUAAUACGUAGGGGGCAAUCGUUAUCCGGAUUUACUGGGUGUAAAGGGAGCGGAGACGGUAGCGCAAGUCUGAAGUGAAAUGCCGGGGCUUAACCCCGGAACUGCUUUGGAAACUGUGCAGCUAGAGUGCAGGAGAGGUAAGUGGAAUUCCGAGUGUAGCGGUGAAAUGCGUAGAUAUUAGGAGGAACACCAGUGGCGAAGGCGGCUUACUGGACUGUAACUGACGUUGAGGCUCGAAAGCGUGGGGAGCAAACAGGAUUAGAUACCCCUGUAGUC
rnacentral:rRNA from 1 species